CUGGUCUCAAACUCCUGGCCUCAAGCAGUUCUCUCAAGUAGCUGGUAUUACUGGUGAGAGCUACCACACCCAGGUAGAAAACUAAAAGUUUUCAUAACUCUGUUGGCAACAAAACCUGACCUGAACUGAGAAAACCUACAACAAAUACACGGUGCUGAGAUUAUCACCAGCAAUAUCCCAGAACUCAAAUAUGAAGAUGGAACAGUGCCCGUGGCAACAAAGAAGUAAAAAACUUCAAGCAGACGCUGUAAGAAUCAGACUUCCAAAUCCGUGACAUCCCUCUCCCAAAUCUGCCUAGCACCAAGCAUGUGGAAAACUUCCCCCACCUCACCGCCAGUUUCUACACUGGAAAAAGUGAGAUUGAAGUGGAUAACCAGUUUCCCCACCAUCUUGGAUUCCCUGGCAAGAGAUCUGUCCCUAAGUACUUAAAGGGAGAAAUAUUCCCAAAGACAACCAG
rnacentral:lncRNA from 10 species